UACGUAGGGGGCAAGCGUUGUCCGGAUUUAUUGGGCGUAAAGAGCGUGUAGGCGGCCACACAGGUCUGCUGUGAAAACUCGAGGCUCAACCUCGAGCUGUCGGUGGAAACCGUGUGGCUAGAGUCCGGAAGAGGAGAGUGGAAUUCCCGGUGUAGCGGCGAAAUGCGCAGAUAUCGGGAAGAACACCCGUGGCGAAGGCGGCUCUCUGGGACGGUACUGACGCUGAGACGCGAAAGCGUGGGGAGCGAACAGG
rnacentral:rRNA from 1 species